CUGAUUUGAGGGUACAACCUGGAGUAAGACAAGAGACAUGUAAAAAAUGCCACGUGCGUGCAAACUGCAAGUCGACACGACAGAGACGUGGAGAAAUUUGAGAACGCCCUGACGGACGCCUGGCCGAGCCAAUAGAAGAGGCAGGAGAUACAGCGUGACGGCGCCAAUAGUUUGAGCCAAUAGAGUCGAAGUAGAGGCGGGACAAAGGGGAUUGGAUUUCUUCUGUGGGUGAACGCUAGAGAGAGCUGUCGUAAAGUUGAUCGAGGAUUCAC